rnacentral:rRNA from 1 species
AUUGAACGCUGGCGGCAUGCUUUACACAUGCAAGUCGAACGGUAACAGGCCGCAAGGUGCUGACGAGUGGCGAACGGGUGAGUAAUGCAUCGGAACGUGCCCAGUCGUGGGGGAUAACCCGGUGAAAACCGGAUUAAUACCGCAUACGAUCGAGCGAUGAAAGUGGGGGACCGCAAGGCCUCACACGAUAGGAGCGGCCGAUAUCUGAUUAGCUAGUUGGUGGGGUAAAGGCCCACCAAGGCUUCGAUCAGUAGCUGGUCUGAGAGGAUGAUCAGCCACACUGGGACUGAGACACGGCCCAGACUCCUACGGGAGGCAGCAGUGGGGAAUUUUGGACAAUGGGGGCAACCCUGAUCCAGCCAUUCCGCGUGAGUGAAGAAGGCCUUCGGGUUGUAAAGCUCUUUUGUCCGGGAAGAAACGGUUUCACCUAAUACGUGAGACUACUGACGGUACCGGAAGAAUAAGGACCGGCUAACUACGUGCCAGCCGCCGCGGUAAGAC